GUUUAGGUUUAACAAGUUCUUGUUUGUCACUUUACAUUUGGUGUUUGUAAAUCAAGAUUUUAUGAAAUAACCAGAAUUAUGUUCACUAGGGCUUUCGAUACAUGACAGAUGCUGCUAGUGGUUCAAGAUUCUCACGGUAGGUAGGAUAACAAGCUAUCUUUAUCGAUUUUAUGCUUAAAUGUCUCUCGACCUACUGAAGCGUUUAAUUACCUAAUCCUCUCGGACUUAGGGAAUUUCUAUUUACUGCCC
rnacentral:lncRNA from 1 species